ensembl:lncRNA TEX26-AS1 TEX26 antisense RNA 1
GAGUGGUUCUCCCUCCACAGACCCAAAAGGCUGAACUGGUGAACCUGCUGCAUCUGUGGGCAGAAUUAGGAUGAAAAGCACUACCUCUGUGAAAUACAAAAUCUCUGUGGAAGAAAAAUCAAUUCAGUUCUUGCAGUGAGCUUUCCGGACCACUGUCUUGUAUGUUUCCUAAGAAAAGCAAAAAGGGAAGAGAUUGAAGAGAAAGUAGAUUUUCAACUACAAACUUUCAUCCAUUUGCUUUCAGCUUAAGCAAAUGUGCGCAAAGUUGUCAUGGAUUUUUGCAGUCAAUAAAAACCAAGCAAGAAGACUGAAUCCCAAGUCAUCUGGUAUAAAUGGAAGCAGUUUCUGUGAUAGUUCCACGCGGUCAGAAGGGUCAUCCUGGCUUAGGAGAGGGGCAGAAGAGGAAAUGCACGCGUGGAAACAGGAGUGGGCAGGGAGGAUGUGACACUGUCCUCCUCACCAGGCCACGUUCCUGGCACCAACCAUAGUGUUUGUGAGGGUCAAUUUAAUUGUUCUUGUGCUCUCAUAGAGGAAGCUGUGUCUUUCAUCCCCUUGUAAGAGUUUUCACUGAUGAAGGGGGUCUUUUAUCUUCAUAUCUUGGGAACUACUGAAACUGUUUCAAAGAGUCAAAGACACCAAUAACUAACAGAAAUUCUUGUUUUCAGGGGCAGAUAAGAAAAGAAACAAUUUGCUGAAACUCCCUCUGCUUAUAACAAAACUGACUGAAAUCAGCCGGAAUCAAUAUGGCCAAAUGCAGUUUGCGCACAGCAAGCUUGCUGAUGUCACAGCCUGAAUUUCUACUGCAUGUUUCAUACCAACUCCCUCCAAAUUUGCACAUGGGACCCACCAGGAAGCAUGAAGAGAGAGCCAUGCAUGCCUGAAGACUUCCCAGAUGUUCCCUUUGCUUCCACCAAUCACCUGCUAACCCCAGGAUCCAACCCUAAACCUUUUGUAAUAAAAUUACUGCCCUAAAGCCAGUACAAGACAGAUUUGAACUGGACUUUUGUUUCCUCAGAAGUUAACUUGCAAUGUGAAGCUUUCCUUUUCUCAAAAACUUGGUGUCAUAGUGUUGGCUUCUAGUGCAGUGAGCCCCUUUUGCUGGAUAACCUUACCUGGUAAUUUGACAUACUAGGUGGUUAGUAACUACUGACUGUCUCCAGGUUACAACACAGUUAUUACCCACUUGGGUGAAAAGAGAAGACAGGAAAUACAUUUUGGAGUUGGCUGGCAACCUGUUUACAAAGCAAUUUACAACAGUUCCUUAUUCUUAAGGGGCUAUUCUAAUACAAGACCUCAGAGAAACAGUGCAGUGUGACAAAGGAGGAAUUUAUCAAAGGAGACAGAAAAAGCAUCAAGGCAAGCUGUGAAAUGGUGCGGUAGGAACCAAAUAGAGAGCCAAAGGAUCUUUCUGUCACUGCAGGCCCUUAGGGCUGAACUCUGAGAACACCACAACUUCACAGAGACUGCUGGUUUUCUGCAAUUAGCAGCAAGAGUCCUGACUCAGGGAAGUUGCUCUCCAGUCCAGACUAGCAAAAGACAGAGAGAAUGGGCUCUGCAGAAGACAGAUCCAGACAAGCCAUGCAUGAUUCAUGCCACCUGCAGCCACACGGGUGUCAAUACCAAGAACCUGCCAUAUGUCAUCAAGAGUGUGUUAAGUGAAA